rnacentral:rRNA from 1 species
AUCGAACGCUGGCGGCAGGCUUAACACAUGCAAGUCGAGCGAGCGGCGGACGGGUGAGUAGUGACUGGGCAACUGCCUUAUGGAGGGGGAUAACUACUGGAAACGGUAGCUAAUACCCCAUACCAUCAGAUGUGCCCAGAUGGGCUUAUCUAGUAGGUGGGGUAAUGGCUCACCUAGGCGCCGAUCCCUAGCUGGUCUGAGAGGAUGACCAGCCACACUGGAACGGAGACACGGUCCAGACUCCUACGGGAGGCAGCAGUGGGGAAUAUUGCACAAUGGGCGCAAGCCUGAUGCAGCCAUGCCGCGUGUGUGAAGAAGGCCUUGGGGUUGUAAAGCACUUUCAGCGAGGAGGCGUUACUCGCAGAAGAAGCACCGGCUAACUCCGUGCCAGCAGCCGCGGUAAUAC